GAUGAACGCUAGCGCUAGGCCUAACACAUGCAAGUCGAGGGGCAGCACAAGGUAGCCUGCUUUCUGCGUUGCGCCCUGCGCGCGUGUGCGUAACGCGUAUUCAACCUGUCCUAUACACUAGGCUAACCCCCCGCAAGACUGACCCAUACUCCGUAUGCCCACAACUUCGCAUCCAGAGGUGAGCUACGGAAUUCGUUCUACGAUAGACAUGCGUCCCAUUAGCUUGUGGGUGAGGUAACCACUCACCAAGUCAACGAACGGUAGGCGAACUGAGAGGUUGAUCCCCCACAGUGGUACUGAGACACGGGCCAGACUCCUACGGGAGGCAGCAGUGAGGAAGAUUGGUCAAGGGGGGCGAGCCUGAACCAGCCAAGUCGCGUGAAGGAUGACUGUCUGAUGGAUUGUAACCUUCUUUUAUACGGGAAGAACAAGAGUCACGGGUGACUCCCUGCAUGUACCGUAUGAAUAAGCAGCGGCUAACUCCGUG
rnacentral:rRNA from 1 species